rnacentral:rRNA from 1 species
AUUGAACGCUGGCGGCAGGCUUAACACAUGCAAGUCGAACGAGCGGCGGACGGGUGAGUAAUGUAUGGGGACUGCCCGAUAGAGGGGGAUAACUACUGGAAACGGUGGCUAAUACCGCAUACUAUCGGAUAACCCAUAUGGGAUUAGCUAGUAGGUGGGGUAAAGGCUCACCUAGGCGACGAUCUCUAGCUGGUCUGAGAGGCGGAUCAGCCAAACGGGGACUGAGACACGGCCAAGACUCCAACGGAGGCAGCAGUGGGGAAUAUUGCACAAUGGGCGCAAGCCUGAUGCAGCCAUGCCGCGUGUAUGAAGAAGGCCUUAGGGUUGUAAAGUACUUUCAGCGGGGAGGCGUUACCCGCAGAAGAAGCACCGGCUAACUCCGUGCCAGCAGCCGCGGUAAUAC